rnacentral:rRNA from 1 species
GUGCCAGCAGCCGCGGUAAGACGAAGGGGGCUAGCGUUGUUCGGAAUUACUGGGCGUAAAGCGCGUGUAGGCGGUUGUCCAAGUUGGAUGUGAAAGCCUUGAGCUUAACUCAAGAAAUGCAUUCAGGACUGGAUGACUAGAGGACCGGAGAGGAUAGUGGAAUUCCCAGUGUAGUGGUGAAAUACGUAGAGAUUGGGAAGAACACCAGUGGCGAAGGCGGCUAUCUGGACGGUUUCUGACGCUAAGACGCGAAAGCGUGGGGAGCAAACAGGAUUAGAUACCCUGGUAGUCC